CGUACACUCCUGCGGGAGGCAGCAGUGGGGAAUAUUGGACAAUGGGCGCAAGCCUGAUCCAGCCAUGCCGCGUGAGUGAUGAAGGCCCUAGGGUUGUAAAGCUCUUUCACCGGAGAAGAUAAUGACGGUAUCCGGAGAAGAAGCCCCGGCUAACUUCGUGCCAGCAGCCGCGGUAAUACGAAGGGGGCUAGCGUUGUUCGGAAUUACUGGGCGUAAAGCGCACGUAGGCGGAUCGAUCAGUCAGGGGUGAAAUCCCAGGGCUCAACCCUGGAACUGCCUUUGAUACUGUCGAUCUGGAGUAUGGAAGAGGUGAGUGGAAUUCCGAGUGUAGAGGUGAAAUUCGUAGAUAUUCGGAGGAACACCAGUGGCGAAGGCGGCUCACUGGUCCAUUACUGACGCUGAGGUGCGAAAGCGUGGGGAGCAAACAGGAUUAGAUACCCCAGUAGUCCCAUGA
rnacentral:rRNA from 1 species